rnacentral:rRNA from 1 species
GAUGAACGCUGGCGGCGUGCCUAAUACAUGCAAGUCGAGCGAACAGACGAGGAGCUUGCUCCUCUGACGUUAGCGGCGGACGGGUGAGUAACACGUGGAUAACCUACCUAUAAGACUGGGAUAACUUCGGGAAACCGGAGCUAAUACCGGAUAAUAUAUUGAACCGCAUGGUUCAAUAGUGAAAGACGGUUUUGCUGUCACUUAUAGAUGGAUCCGCGCCGCAUUAGCUAGUUGGUAAGGUAACGGCUUACCAAGGCAACGAUGCGUAGCCGACCUGAGAGGGUGAUCGGCCACACUGGAACUGGGACACGGUCCAGACUCCUACGGGAGGCAGCAGUCGGGAAUCUUCCGCAAUGGGCGAAAGCAUGACGGAGCAACGCCGCGUGAGUGAUGAAGGUCUUCGGAUCGUAAAACUCUGUUAUUAGGGAAGAACAAAUGUGUAAGUAACUAUGCACGUCUUGACGGUAACUAAUCAGAAAGCCACGGCUAACUACGUG